rnacentral:rRNA from 1 species
AUACGGAGGGUGCAAGCGUUAUCCGGAAUCAUUGGGUUUAAAGGGUCCGUAUGCGGGCUAAUAGGUCAGGGGUGAAAUCCCACAGCUUAACUGUGGAACUGCCCUUGAUACUGUUGGUCUUGAGUUACUGUGAAGUGGUUAGAAUGUGUAGUGUAGCGGUGAAAUGCAUAGAGAUUACACAGAAUACCGAUUGCGAAGGCAGAUCACUAACUGUAUACUGACGCUAAUGGACGAAAGCGUGGGGAGCGAACAGGAUUAGAAACCCUAGUAGUCC